UACGAAGGGGGCUAGCGUUGCUCGGAAUUACUGGGCGUAAAGGGAGCGUAGGCGGACAUUUAAGUCAGGGGUGAAAUCCCGGGGCUCAACCUCGGAAUUGCCUUUGAUACUGGGUGUCUUGAGUAUGAGAGAGGUAUGUGGAACUCCGAGUGUAGAGGUGAAAUUCGUAGAUAUUCGGAAGAACACCAGUGGCGAAGGCGACAUACUGGCUCAUUACUGACGCUGAGGCUCGAAAGCGUGGGGAGCAAAC
rnacentral:rRNA from 1 species